CCCCAAUUCCCAAACAUUUUCCAUUCCGUCAAAAUCAAUUCACAAAAGUCCCAAAAAUAAAAAAUCAAAAUCCUUAUCUUCACUACGCCGGUUUGUCCCUGACUCCCUGCCCGGCUGGAGGGUUUCUCCCCUUGCUGAGAAAUCAUAUCACUAGCUUUGAUUAUUGGGGGAAGCCGGGAAGAUAAGGGUGUGUUUGGCUGACACUCGUACACCAUUGAACUAGAAUACAAACAGGUAAAUUAUAUAUUGUGUAUAAUUAUACAAUGUGCUUUUCAUUUAUGUUAUAGUUUUUUGCUUUUCAGUUUUCGCAUGCAUUGUUACACACAUCUGAGACUGAAUUUGAAUGUGGGAUGCAUGUGCUUGAAAAUAGUUUGGAGGCUUUGGUUUUUGUUUUUCAAUUGAAUAAAAUAAUGAGAUAGUUUCUCACUUUCUCCAUAUUCUGCGUGAUUUAACAAGCUUUCAAUAAGUUAAUCUCCUUCCACUGCUGCAUCACGUACCUUUGGUUUCUAUUUUGAAUAUGGUCAAGACUCAAGAAGGGCCCCUUUGUUGGGCUCUGACAAUUUUGGGGGGAAAAUUGGAAAAAAUGACGAGUUCAGAAAAUUUGAGCAAGAAAUUUAGUAGAUGUUUAUUCAAAUAGAUUAUAUUUUGUUGGAGGAAUCAAAUUGUAAUUGUAAUAGAUUAAAAUUAGAGCUGUCUGGUUAUCAACUUUCAUGCUUAUUUUUCCUGUAUUGUGGUGAUAUAUUAUUGGAUUGUCAAUCACGGUAUGCCGGCUAAAGCAAAGCAUCCUUCAUUUCCAUGGGAAUAGGGCUGCUUGUGGAAUCGAUUAUAUAAAUAUAAUGUUUCAAUAUCUAUUCUGGUUUAUAAUAGUUUUUGUUAGGGGUAAGAGGGGGUGAGGAUGAUGACGAGUUACUUAUGGAAUUUAGGUUAAAUUCUGAAGUGUAUCUGGAAUUUAGGGUGAUGACAAGUUAGAUUUGGCUAAUUCUAAAGUGUAUCUGGAAUUUAGGUCAUGUAAGGUUAAAUUUUAGUCAUUUAUUACCUAGAGGGGGGUUGAAUACAUUGUUUACACAAUCUUGACCAUUUUUUCAAAUUUCUAACUUUUUUCUCUAUUGUCAACAUUAUUGUAGGCACGUAGCUGGAAGUAGACCCUAAUUGAAUGCAUGCAGAACCGUGAAAACUUAAUCAUAUAACUGAAUUUGUUUUGUUGUUGCUAAACUCCCUUAAAAAUAUUUUUCAAGUUAAGAACAAAUGAACACAACAAGAAGAACAUUGGCAAUAUUCUGUGUAAGCUCAUGUGCCUAGCGAUCUGAGCAACUUUCCUCAAACUAAUAUUGAAGCAUAAGAAGAGGGGAGAAGAAGAAAAUACCUAAUAGAUUUUUCUUGUGGAUUUUGUCUAUGUCUUGUGAUGUGUGUUUUCUAAGUCUGUCCUCCUUCAAUUCAUAGAGUAAAGAAAAUGUAUAUGAGGUGAGUUUGGACUCUACUUAGAAUGCUGACUCUUCCAUUUGUCCUAAAUUGUCUCAGAAGUAUGUAACUCCUACAGAUUUCUUUGCUGCCGCCUACCCGUCAGUCUGUCUCCAAUUGAGGUAAAUAUGCUUGUUUUUUAAAUGAUUCCAAAUGCAGUUUUAUGUGUUUUAAAUGAUUCCAAAUUGGUUUUAUGGUUAUGGUUUUAUCAAUUUAUAUUUAUGCCUUUAUGGGAUAUUGAAGCAUUUUGAUUUUUAUGCUUUUAGAUUUAAUGUGGAAGAAGAUCGACCUUCUACCAAAAAAGGUAGAACUUUAUUGUCUUUCUUUUCAAAAAGUAACAAAUCUCAGGAUUCUCCAAUUCCUACGGUGCCCAUUCUUCCAAUUUCAUGCCCUGAAGUUGAACGGCCUUCAUCUUCCAAUCUUAAUUUUGAACCUUCAUCUUCCAAUCUUAAUUUUGAACCAUCUGAUUUCAUUGAACGGGACCCUGGAAAAAGAAAGCAAAUAUGUAAACAUCCAUUUAAUGAGCGUGAUCAGAUUAGGCGGGCUUAUCUAAAUGUUGGACUUUAUCAAACAAAACUUUUGGAGUAUCAGAGCAAAGAAUGUGGAAAGCAGAAACAUUGAUUUCAAGAACGUUGGUAUAAUUAGUUUCAUUGGUUGGAAUAUUCGCCUUCAACACAUAAGGCAUAUUGUUUUUACUGCUUCCUUUUUCUCAAUAAUAGUACUCUACCUAAUAUUUUAUCAUUGGUUACUGUUGGAUUUGAUAGUUGGAAGAGGGUUAACCAAGGAAGUAAAUGUGCAUUUCUUAUUCAUGUUGGUACAACAUCGUCAUCGUUUCAUAAUGGCUGUAAGAGAAGAGCUGAAGAUUUAAUGAAACCAACUCAACAUAUUGACAAGGUAAUGCAUUCUGUAUCAAAUGAGGAAAAAUAGAAAAAUCAUUUGCGCCUAAAGACCUCUAUUAUGAGUGUCAAGUGGUUAGCUCUUCAAGGUUGUUCCUUUAGAGGCCAUGACGAAUCUCCAUCUUCACUGAAUCGUGGGAAUUUUAUUGAAUUGGUGGAUGCAUUUGCAAAUAUGCAUAUUGAAGUAGGAAAAGUUGUGUUGAGUAAUGCUCCCAAAAAUGCUACAUACACGUCUCCAGACAUUCAAAAAGAAAUUUUGAGCAUUAUGGCCAAUAGAGUACGACAAGGAAUUCGUACAGAAAUUGGGGAUGCAAAGUUUAGUAUUCUUGUUGAUGAAGCACGAGAUGAAUCUUCAUGAGAACAAAUGGCUAUUAUCCUGAGGUUUGUGAACAGUAAUGGAAUUUUGACAGAACGUUUUUUUGCAAUUAAAAGUGUUAGUGACACUACCUCAUUAAAUCUUAAGAAUCAGAUUUCUGAUGUUCUUGUUCGUUUCAACCUUCAAGUGCAAAACAUGAGAGGCCAAGGAUACGAUGGUGCUAAUAAUAUGCGUGGUUCUUGGAAUGGACUACAGGCAUUAUUUCUUAAAGAUUGUCCAUAUGCAUACUAUGUUCAUUGUUUUGCCCAUCGUUUACAACUCACAUUGGUUUCUGCAGCUAAGGAUGUCUCAGAUAUUAAUUCAUUUUUUUCUCAUUUAGACACUGUUAUUAAUAUGAUUACAUCAUCUCCUAAGCGCAUCAAUGAGUUGAAAAGUGCCCAAAUAAAAGAAAUUGAGCAUUCGUUAGAAAUUGGAGAACGAGAGUCCGGAAGUGGUGCUAAUCAGAUUGGUAAUUUGCAACGAGCCGAAAAUACUCGUUGGUCUUCUCAUUACAGCUCUGUAAAGAGUUUGAUUGAUAUGUAUGCUGCAACUUGCAAGGUGUUUGAGUAUCUUAGUGAUCAUUCUCCAAGUACAAGAUCUCGGUCCGAAGUUGGUGGUGUAUACAAAACCAUAACAACAUUUGAAUUUGUAUUUAUCUUGCAUUUAAUGCGUAGAAUAUUAGCAAUUGCGGAUGUUCUUUGUCAGUCCCUUCAAAAGAAAACUCAAGACAUUUUAACUGUUAUGAGAUUUGUCCGUACUACAAAAACUAUCCUUCAAGCAUUGAGAGAAGAUGGCUAGAAAGAAUUUUUUGAAGAGGUGAAAUGUUUUUGCUCAAAAAAUGAUAUACAUGUACCUGACUUUGAUGGUUCGUAUAUGGUUGAUCGUUCUCGUGGUCAUGAGUAUCCUACCAUUGAACAUCAUUACCACUUUGAUAUUUUCAAUGCAGCCAUUGGAUUUCAGAUGAUGGAGUUAGAUACAAGAUUUAAUGAGACAUCAAUAGAGCUCAUUUCUCUCAGUACAGCUUUGGAUCCAAAAAAUUCUUUUGAAUCAUUUAAGAUAUAUAAUAUUUGCAAGUUUGCGGAAAAGUUUUAUCCUGAAUAUUUUAAACAGCAAGAUAUUUAUUGUUUGAAAGUUGAGUUGCAACACUAUCAGAAUGAUGUGAUUUCUGAACCUCGAUUUCAAGUACUUACACUUUCUGAUUUAUGUCGGGAAUUGGUUGCAAGUAGAAGGUCGGAGAGUUACGUCAUUUUGACUAAAUUGAUUUGUUUAGUAUUGACACUAUCUGUUUCAACGGCGACUGUGGAGCGAGCUUUUUCAGCAAUGAAACAUGUGAAGACGGAAAUUCGUAACAAAAUGGAUGAUGGUUUUCUUGCUGAUUGUUUAACACUAAACAUUGAACGAGAAUUUAGUAUGAAUUUAGAUCUAAAUUCUAUUAUAGAUGAAUUUUAUGCUGUAAAACAUCGCCGAGUAUAACUUCAAUAGGUAACUUAUAUAAUAAAUUUUUCUUAUUAUAUAUAAAUUUUAUUCGUACAUUAAAUUUUUUAAAUUUUUAGCCCAUCGUAAUUCCUGGCUCCACCCCUGCAUGAGAUAGUGUUCAAAUUCCAUCACAUUUCAAGAGAAACGGGUUUUCGAAUGGCCCUCGCAAUGGCUCCAUUCCUUGUCUAACGGUGUGUAUCACGCACCCCAUAUGAAUCACCAAUGUGGCCUUUGGCUGGGAAGAAAUUCCAAAGCCAAUGGGAACAUAUAUUUCCAAGAUAGCAUACGACUAACAUUGUACCAUACAAUUUUUUGUUGAUGAAAGCAUGAAGCUUAGGCCAUGGAUAGCCACUGGUCGUUUUCUCCUGAGGAAGUGGGCAUGCCAUCGUAACGAGUGUACUUUACUCACGACUUUAACUCAAUUUUAACUUGACUGUAAGCUAGAUUUUGCGAGUAUUGAACGGUUUUAAUAUAUUUGUUAAUGUUGUUUUAUAGGAUUGUUGAAAGAGACGAAAAAGUUCAUCAAAUAAAGUUAUUGGCAUGGAUCGAAAAAAAAUCGUGGAUAAAAGGACAAAAGAUGCAAAGUAAAAUGAAUGGACAAGCGGCUCACCGGCCCGAAAUAGUGGCGCCAAGGCGUCAUGAAAGGAAGAUAGUUAGAGUUGAGAGACCAAGGAAAACCAGAGAGGGGGCGCAUUUUUGGCUCAUUUGAAAUUCAUGAAAAAAACCCUAUUCUCUAGACCAUACAAGAAUGCACCUAUAAAUAUAAUUUUCUCACACUUUUGGGGGAUUUCACAGAUUGAGAAGCAAAAAACACACUUUGAGAUUUAAGAGAAGUAAUUCAAGGGAGGAAAACAACAAACAAUUCAACGUUUGGAGUAUUAAUUGGAAGAUGAAGAAGAUCUUGAUGCAAGAUUGAUAUUUUUUUUUCUACAUCUUUACUACAAAUUCGAUAAUGCACUCAAUGACUAUUUAUUAUUUUUUCUCUUUCAUUAUGAGUAGUUAAAUAUCUUGUUAGGGCGAAUAAUGUAAUCCAAUUGGGACCCUUUAUGUCUUUUAAUUAAAA
rnacentral:lncRNA from 1 species